rnacentral:lncRNA from 1 species
UCAGGCUGGCGGCGGCGCUCAACCGAGCGCUCCGACUUCUACGCCGUGGCUUACGUCCUCCUCUGCUCAACCUCCUAGAGAUCGACUCCAUAUAUGAGCAAGCUCUCCCCUGGCUGCAGAUCCCCCGGUUCUCUCGACAGUAAACAGAAGUUUCCUAUUACUCUUCCUCUGUUGCUGUUCCAGUCACGUGCUCCUCUGUGGUGCUCUGUUGGUUCUGUUUGUUGUCCACCGUGGCCUGGUGUUUGGGCUCCCUGCUGCGCGGUGUUCAUCUUCUCGGGCUGGUGCCGUGGACGUCUCCCUCGGUUCCGGCAGCGGCUCUAGUAUCUCCGUCAACCUCCCGCCGUGCAGGCCCGGACGUGGGCGGCGGAAUUGGUUUUCUGGGACAGAACUUCGUGUUCGCUGAGCUGAUCUUCCCACGUAGACAAUCUACGUGCUGUGAGUUACCCGUUGCCUCUAUUUAUUUAUUGAGUAAUUUUGUGCAAUCUGCUAGUAUUAUUUACUUGGGUGUGAUUGCACAAUUUGUGAGUGGAUUUAUUAGCUCAAUGAUGAUAGCGGUGUAGUGAGACAACGUGACAGUCUGGGUUUUAGUGUGUUGUUAAUUUUCAGCAUUGAUAUUAUUUGUGCCUAGUCAUCUUUUUCACUAUAUUGUGCAGGCUGAUUAUUUAAGUUCAUAAUUGUUCCUUAAUUCCUGUGCACACUGUUUUGAUCUUGAUAUUCAUGCUUGAUUUAUAGGCUUAUAAUAUUUGAUCUAAAACCCUGAUUUGGUAAGAUAGGACUGUCACGUUAGUCGAGGAUCUUUGAUCACCACUUAGCGUUGGAGGGCUGUUUAGUGCAGCAACCCGCUAUUUUGAGAGCAAUACUUCAAGAUAAACAAUUAUGUUUAUUUGUUUCUUCUGCCUUCUUCAUCUGCAAGCCAUGUUUAAUUAUGAAAUGGACCUGUGUAGCUAUUUUACAUGUUUACAUGUCUUAGAAUUGCUACUGUUCAUUGCUGCUAUAAUUUCAUAUGGUAUUUAUCUGAGUUAUAUGAUUGUUUUAUUCGGAAUUAGAAUAUUUAAUCUAUUUAAAUAUGUAGAAAGCAUGUCACUUAUUUCUCUAAAUUUACAACAAUCCAGAAAACCAAUUCGUAUUAUAGCCUCCAGUUCUGAUGUCAUUAAGCCUGAAUCGUUCGACGGCGCAAGCUUUAAACGCUGGCAGAUUAAGACUCGCAUGUGGCUCACUGACCUAAAAUUAUUUUGGGUAGUGACAUCGGCUGUUCCCCAGGCUGCAUCAGAUGAUUCUGAUGAUGCAGCGAAGGCCGCCGCACUAGCGGAGAAGGCCAAGUGGGACGAAGCCAAUGAGGCAUGUUUGUCUCGUCUGCUGAACGUCUUGUCGAACCGCUUAUUUGACGUGUACUCUCGUUUUACCUCCGCCAAGGGUCUAUGGACUGAACUUGAGAACGAGUUCUCUGAAGUUGACAAUGGCAAUGAGUCAUUCACAACGGAAAACUACCUCAACUAUAAAAUGGUUGAGGGAAGGUCUGUUAUGGAGCAGCUACAGGAGAUUCAACUCCUUGUUAGGGACUUGGUCCAAUAUGGUUGCGUCCUACCAGACAGUUUUCAGGUGAAUGCAAUACUGGCAAAGCUCCCGCCUUCUUGGCGAGACUUUGUGACUUCACGCCGCCACAUGAAGAAGCAAUUGACUCUCACUGAGUUGUCAGCUGCGAUUAAUGUGGAAGAGCGUGCAAGGUCCAGUAACAAGCCAUCCCAGCAACUCCAGGCUCACGUUGUUGAGAAGGGUGGAGAUAGAAAAUUCCAGAAGAAGAAGAACUCUCCACAGAAGAAUAUGAACCAACCUAAGUCCAAAAAGAUGAAGAAGAAAAAGGAGGACUUUAUCUGCUACGUUUGUGGUGUCUCCGGGCAUACAGCUCGGAGGUGCAAACUUAGGAAGGGAAAAGGUCCUCCACCUCAGCGUAAAGAAGGGAACGUGGUGGUUAACUCCACCCCAGGGUAUGCACUUCAGGCCUUUAUGGCAAGUCCAUCAGAUGACUGGUGGAUGGAUUCUGGUGCUACUGUUCAUAUUUGUGCUGAUCGAUCCAUGUUCUCUUCAUUCCAGGGAUACAACAGCGCACCAGUCUUGAUGGGAAAUGGUGUUCCGGCAGCAGUUCGAGGUACUGGACAGGUCUACCUGAAGUUAACUUCAGGAAAGACGCUCGUGCUGAAGGACGUACUCUAUGUGCCAUCGAUGAGCCGGAACCUCAUUUCAGUGUCGCUGCUAUGUCGACAGGGUCUCAAAUUAGUGUUUGAGUCUAAUAAAGUGGUCCUGUCUAAGUUUGGUACUUUUGUUGGAAAGUCAUAUGAGUCAGGCGGUUUGUUCCGUCUUUCUGUUUUGAAUAAUCAUUCUUCUUACCAUGUUAAUGUGGUCUGUAAUAACGAUUCCAUUAAUAAUAUAUGGCAUUCCCGUUUGUGUCAUGUGAAUUUUGAGGCCAUUAAGAGAUUAAGUGACAUGUCUUUAAUUCCUGAAUAUAAACAUGUUAAAGGUGUAAAAUGUGGUAUUUGUGUGCAAGCCAAGCAGCCUAGAAAACCGUUUCAUACGGUUGAAGGCAGAAGUACCACUCCUUUAGAACUAAUUCACUCAGAUAUCUGUGAGAUGAAUGGUAUAAUCACAAAAGGCGGUAAAAGAUACUUUCUUACCUUGAUAGAUGAUGCUACCAGGUUCUGUUAUAUUUACUUACUCAGAACUAAAGAUGAGGCACUAGAACACUUUAAGAUCUAUAAGACUGAAGUUGAAAACCAGCUAGACAAGAAAAUUAAAAGGUUACGGUCUGAUAGAGGAGGUGAAUACCUUUCCAACCUUUUUGAUGAGUACUGCAAAGAGUGUGGAAUCAUUCAUGAAACCACUGCUCCUUAUUCACCUCAGUCAAAUGGGGUAGCUGAAAGGAAGAACCGAACGGUGUGUGACUUAGCUAAUGCUUUGUUGCAAAGUUCGGGGAUGCCUGACAUAUGGUGGGGCGAGGCAGUACUCACAGUAUGCUAUGUCCUGAACAGGGUGCCGCCUCGCAACCGUGAGGCCACACCCUAUGAAGGAUUUAAAGGAAGGAAGCCAGAUCUUUCGCAUCUUCGGACUUGGGGUUGCCUUGCAAAGGUGAAUGUCCCGUUGCCGAAGAAGAGAAAGUUAGGCCCUAAGACCGUAGACUGUGUCUUCCUGGGUUAUGCACAUAACAGUGCAGCUUAUAGAUUUCUAGUGGUCCAUUCCGAGACAAGCGAAAUCGCUGUAAAUGUAAUAAUGGAGUCUCGGGAUGUGACAUUCUUUGAGAGCAUCUUCCCUAUGCGGGAUAAGGAAGUAGUAGCCCCAGAUGGUCCAUCUCGGACAUAUUCUCUGCCCUCGAGUGUCAAUGACCAGACUCCAGAUUUGGAGUUAAGGAGGAGUAAGAGACAAAGGACUGAAAAGUCUCUGGGUGAUGAUUAUAUUAUCUAUCUAGUGGAUGAAGAACCACGCUCCCUCACAGAGGCAUAUACAUCUCCGGAUGCAGAGUACUGGAGGGAGGCUGUCCGUAGCGAGAUGGAUUCAAUCAUCUCGAACGGAACUUGGGAGAUAACUGAUCUCCCAGCUGGUUGCAAGCCUGUGGGCUGCAAAUGGAUCUUUAGGAGGAAGAGGAGACCCGAUGGUACUAUUGAAAAGUACAAGGCCCGUCUUGUGGCUAAGGGUUUUACUCAAAAGAAAGAGGAGGAUUAUUUUGAUACAUAUUCUCCGGUGGCUCGAUUGCCCACAAUCCGUGUGCUUUUAGCACUGGCAGCUGCUUAUAAACUUCUUGUCCAUCAAAUGGACGUAAAGACAGCAUUCCUAAAUGGAGAGCUGGAAGAGGAAAUUUAUAUGCAGCAACCAGAAGGAUUUGUGGUUAAAGGACAAGAGAGCAAAGUGUGUCGCUUGAUUAAAUCCUUAUACGGUCUUAAACAAGCUCCCAGACAAUGGCAUGAGAAGUUUAAUAAUACUCUGACCACUGCCGGGUUUUGUGUAAACGAAGCCGACAAGUGUGUGUAUUAUCGCUUCUCUGGGGGCAAAGGUGUCAUCAUGUGUUUAUACGUUGAUGACAUAUUGAUAUUUGGGACCGAUUUGGAGGCUAUCAUGGAGACAAAAUUAUUCCUCUCCAAGAACUUUGAUAUGAAGGACUUGGGUGAAGCUGAUGUUAUACUGAACAUCAAGCUGAUAAAGGGUGAGGAUGGGAUUACUUUGUCACAAUCCCAUUAUGUGGAAAAGGUCCUGACUCGCUUUGGACAUAUGGACUGUAAACCAGUCACCACGCCCUAUGAUCCAUCCUACACGCUCAGUAAAUAUGAAGGCGAGCCUGUGAACCAGCUACUAUAUUCGCAGAUCAUCGGAUCUCUCAUGUAUCUGAGCAGUGCAACUAGACCAGAUAUCUCAUAUGCAGUAUGCAGACUGGCUCGUUAUUCGGCCAGUCCAGGAGAUAGACACUGGGUAGCCUUGUACAGAGUGCUUCGGUAUUUGAAGGGAGCGAUGAAUCUUGGUAUUAAAUAUACCGGAUUUCCGUCAGUACUUGAAGGAUUCAGUGAUGCAAACUGGAUCUCUGACUCGGAUCAAAUGAAGUCUACAAGUGGCUAUGUGUUCACUUUAGCUGGUGGGGCCGUGUCAUGGAGAUCGUCUAAACAAUCAGUGUCGACACGUUCCACCAAGGAGGCUGAAUUAGUUGCACUUGAUUCAGCAGCAUUGGAGGCUGAAUGGUUGAGAGACCUAUUAUCAGACCUUCCAAUGCUAGCAAAGCCGAUACCGGCUGUCCUAGUAUACUGUGACAACACUUCUGUGUUGCUAAAAGUGAACAGUAGAAAGGACAACCAAAAAUCCUCGAGGCAUAUCAGAAGACGACUUGAUUCAUGUCGGCAUGCUAGAGAGACGGGUGUAAUAACAGUAGAUUACAUCAAGUCUGAAAGGAACCUUGCUGAUCCUUUCACCAAAGGGCUGGCUCAAAAGCCAAUCCAAGCAGCGUGCAUGGGAAUGGGACUCGUACCCUGUUAGCGGUUUCAACUGCGGAUAACUGUCCUGUGUGACCGGAGAUCCCGAGAUCCAGGCUCCAGGAAACGAAGCACUGUGAAACCAAGAGCACAACAAAACAAAGAGUCUCAUGAGCUGCUGUGCUCUAUCUGUAUGGCAGGUUGAGCGAUAUGCUCUUAAUGAAGUCAAUGCUAUAAGCAGGGAAAUUGUCCUACAGAAUUUCUUUAAUGAUUUCACCUAUAUGAGCUGACUGUGGGGUCGCAGUCCAGGAGAGAAUGGGGUUUUCUCUCUAGUGAGCUCAUGAAUAGAUAUUAAAGGGCAUGACCGUAACGCCCUGCCCCGUAAGAGAAGCAGAUAAUCUGCCUAGUACUAUGUGCCUUUUGUGCGAAGAUUCUCACACUAGGGUUUGUGGAUCAAGGCGUAGUCCUCCGCUUACUCGUGCAGGGUUGGAGUACACUGGGAUAGGCUUUGGUUCAAACCUAACAAGUACCUCUGCCGAAAAGUAGUAUAUAAACAGUACGGGAGCUCAAUGACAUUGAUCAGAAAAUAAGAGUGAAAAUGGUGGGGAUUGCUGUUCAUUUGAGGGGUUUUUCCCUUUAUUUUCUUUAUUGGAAAAUAUAAGAAAUGAAUAAAAAAAAAAAAAAAUUAAAGUGGCCAGCCAGCUGGGCCGCUGCCAGGCCGCUUGGCCGAGCAGCCCAGCAAGGCCAGCCGGUAUAUGCAGCCAACGUAGGGCACGCAAAGUGGAGGGGCAGGAGACCGUGCGGCAGGAGGAGCAGCCGCUCAGGCUGGCGGCGGCGCUCAACCGAGCGCUCCGACUUCUACGCCGUGGCUUACGUCCUCCUCUGCUCAACCUCCUAGAGAUCGACUCCAUAUAUGAGCAAGCUCUCCCCUGGCUGCAGAUCCCCCGGUUCUCUCGACAGUAAACAGAAGUUUCCUAUUACUCUUCCUCUGUUGCUGUUCCAGUCACGUGCUCCUCUGUGGUGCUCUGUUGGUUCUGUUUGUUGUCCACCGUGGCCUGGUGUUUG